CUGUCAUCCUGAGCGCAGCGAAGGACCUUAUCACGCUAGUUUGGUAUGGCGUGAUAAGGUCCUUCGCUGCGCUCAGGAUGACAG
rnacentral:misc_RNA from 1 species